UACGUAGGGUCCGAGCGUUGUCCGGAAUUACUGGGCGUAAAGCGCUCGUAGGUGGUUUGUCGCGUUGUUCGUGAAAACUCACAGCUCAACUGUAGGCGUGCGGGCGAUACGGGCAGACUAGAGUACUGCAGGGGAGACUGGAAUUCCUGGUGUAGCGGUGGAAUGCGCAGAUAUCAGGAGGAACACCGGUGGCGAAGGCGGGUCGCUGGGCAGUAACUGACGCUGAGGAGCGAAAGCGUGGGGAGCGAACAGG
rnacentral:rRNA from 1 species